rnacentral:piRNA from 1 species
GUUAAGUUGUGCAAGUAUAAC